CAAUUAUUAGAAAUUCCUGGUUUUGUGCCCAUAUUGAAAGAAGGCCUGAAUGGGUAUGCUAAGGACCCGAAAGUGAGCCGCUGUCCCUAACUCCAGCUUAGGCGGUUAAUUAGAUUUGGAUGGUUUCAGAGGAGCAGCUGGAGUUUUCAGAAAAUGGAAGCGAUAAAAAAGGGGACUAUUCAAGUCUAAUAAGGGAAGGAAACCACGCGCACAGUCACGACGGUCCAGGGCAACUUCAUCGGUCCUGCAUCGAGAGGACACGAAGUGCUCCUAGAGAAGACGAGGCCUCUCAUCUCGGUGACCUGACAGGAGUAACACCGUGUGCUCUUCAGAGAGGAAUAACACGCAGUGACGGGUGGGAGACACUCUUUUUCAGACCAGGAAGCUGAGCCCCUAUCCUUUCACCCGUUGGAGAGGAGCCCUCGCCGGUGGUCGUGGCAGGAACCCGCGCCCGGACGUUCUGCCACGUUUAGCGUCACAGACAGAAGGAGCUGGAAGCGCUUGCCUGCCGUAAUUGGCUCUCUCUAGGCUGCUGCUUUGUGAGAAGAGGCGAUGCUCCCUCCCCUACACACAGUGAUUGCUGGCCCAAAAUAGCCCUGCACCUGCUCUAAGAUGCCUGAGAGAUAAUUUCAGCUUCCAAGGAAACUGCCCUGAUUGGUGUUGAUUUUUCAUGACCUCCCUUCAGGCGAACACCUGGAGAUAAACACCUGAUCACAGAGGCGCAACCCGCAGAGCCCAGGGCAAGGAGGUGUGCGCCCCAGCCCAUCCAGGAGGCCCUCUACUCAUCUCCCCCAGGGAAGGGGGCCCGGGCUUUGGGGCUUCUGCCCCAUGUGGACCCACUCCAAAGGGUUAGAUGUUAACUGGCUGGUGAGAGGGCCAGGAAGGCUGGGGGUCAGAGCUGGGACCACUGCCGGGGUAGCACCUUCAGAAGCGGGGCCUCCUGUCUCGGAUUCACAGUCUGACUCUGACCAACCUUUCCAGUUACCUUCAUCUCUGUCCACUCACCCCUUUCAGCUCAGUUCAGCCCUGUAAGAGGGCCUUCCUUUAACUCAUGCCUGGAGUCCUGGUCAGUUCCCCUUCCAACUCAGCUCUUUUCUGUAGAUCCCACUGUGACCAUCUGUGUGCAGAAGGGUCUUGAAAGGGGCCACAGAAGGAUCAGUGCAGCAGCACCACAUUUAUGCCGCAUUACUGAUGCCCCUACACGUCAGACACUAAGAAGUGGCUUCCGGGGCAUUAUCGCAUCUGAUUCCCUCCAGACCUCCAGGAGGCUGGGGAAGGCAUCCUUUGGGUCUGUUUUUCAGAUGUUUGUUAACUUGCCCAAGGUCUCCCAACCAGAAGUGUUAGUGGUUGGGUUAGGACUUGGUAUUUGAAGUUCACAGUUUUUUC
rnacentral:lncRNA from 1 species